GGUAAGGGUACUGCGGAGGUCAUUACUGAGUUUUGAAGUGGGCUUGAUGCUGGCAUCUUUUUGAUGCAUGUGCUCAGCCCCGCUCUCAAAUCCACUCAACACCUGUGCACUUUCAAAGUUGUAGUCCUCCGUAAUGGGAGUCGCAAGUCUUUUUUGACUUGCUGGGACUGCGCUUUGCCAUUUAUCACAAACGAUAUUCAUUGUUUUGUAGAAUGUCUAGCCUCAUUGUAGGUGAAACUUAAUACAACUUUCAACAACGGAUCUCUUGGCUCUCGCAUCGAUGAAGAACGCAGCGAAAUGCGAUAAGUAAUGUGAAUUGCAGAAUUCAGUGAAUCAUCGAAUCUUUGAACGCACCUUGCGCUCCUUGGUAUUCCGAGGAGCAUGCCUGUUUGAGUGUCGUGAAAUUAUCAACUCCUAUUCUUUAUUGAAUGGUGAGCUUGGAUUUGGAGAUUGCUGGUGAAAAUCGGCUUCUCUUGAAUGAAUUAGCUGGAAUUUGAUUCGCAGCAUAUAUGCGGUGUGAUAAUGUCGUCACUGUGUAGCUCGGAUUGUCUGGCUUCUAAUCGUCUUUCAUGGACAAUUUGAUCAUUUUGACCUCAAAUCAGGUAGGACUACCCGCUGAACUUAAGCAUUCUAAAAACGGGAAAAAAACCCC
rnacentral:rRNA from 1 species